rnacentral:rRNA from 1 species
CCUACGGGUGGCAGCAGUGAGGAAUAUUGGUCAAUGGGCGCUAGCCUGAACCAGCCAAGUAGCGUGAAGGAUGACUGCCCUACGGGUUGUAAACUUCUUUUAUAUAGGAAUAAAGUGAGGCACGUAUACUGCUUUGCAUGUACUUUAUGAAUAAGGAUCGGCUAACUCCGUGCCAGCAGCCGCGGUAAUACGGAGGAUCCGAGCGUUAUCCGGAUUUAUUGGGUUUAAAGGGAGCGUAGAUGGGUUGUUAAGUCAGUUGUGAAAGUUUGCGGCUCAACCGUAAAAUUGCAGUUGAUACUGGCAGCCUUGAGUACAGUAGAGGUAGGCGGAAUUCGUGGUGUAGCGGUGAAAUGCUUAGAUAUCGCGAAGAACUCCGAUUGCGAAGGCAGCUUACUAGACUGUAACUGACAUUGAUGCUCGAAAGUGUGGGUAUCAAACAGGAUUAGAUACCCGUGUAGUC